UACGAACUGUGCAAACGUUAUUCGGAUUCACUGGGCUUAAAGGGUGCGUAGGCGGCCAUGUAAGUAGGGUGUGAAAUCCCCCGGCUUAACCGGGGAACUGCGCCCUAAACUGUAUGGCUGGAGUGAGAUAGGGGUGUGUGGAACUUCCGGUGGAGCGGUGAAAUGUGUUGAUAUCGGAAGGAACACCAGUGGCGAAGGCGGCUCACUGGACCGGUACUGACGCUGAGGCGCGAAAGCGUGGGGAGCAAACGGG
rnacentral:rRNA from 1 species